rnacentral:lncRNA from 1 species
GAGUGGCAGCGGCAAGGCAGCCCAGUUUCGCGAAGGCUGUCGGCGCGCCGCGGCCCGCAGGCACCCGGCACGCGCCUUCCCCGCAGGCACCCGGCACGCGCCUUCCCCGCCGCCACGAUGCCCAAGAGGAAGCUCCGCCGAAGGCGCCGCCAAGGAAGAGGAGAUCGGCGCGGUUGUCAGCUAAACCUCCUGCAAAAGUGGAAGCGAAGCCGAAAAAGGCAGCAGCGAAGGAUAAAUCUUCAGACAAAAAAGUGCAAACAAAAGGGAAAAGGGGAGCAAAGGGAAAACAGGCCGAAGUGGCUAACCAAGAAACUAAAGAAGACUUACCUGCGGAAAACGGGGAAACGAAGACUGAGGAGAGUCCAGCCUCUGAUGAAGCAGGAGAGAAAGAAGCCAAGUCUGAUUAAUAACCAUAUACCAUGUCUUAUCAGUGGUCCCUGUCUCCCUUCUUGUACAAUCCAGAGGAAUAUUUUUAUCAACUAUUUUGUAAAUGCAAGUUUUUUAGUAGCUCUAGAAACAUUUUUAAGAAGGAGGGAAUCCCACCUCAUCCCAUUUUUUAAGUGUAAAUGCUUUUUUUUAAGAGGUGAAAUCAUUUGCUGGUUGUUUAUUUUUUGGUACAACCAGAAAAUAGUGUGGGAUAUUGAAUUAUGGGAGGCUCUGACUGUCUCGGGUGUCAGCUUAACAUUCCACAGAUGGGGGGUUAGUUUUUAUAUCCUAUAAUACAAAGCAUAUUAAAUGGCAAUAUGGAGUCAGUCCUGCAUUUAAUGUCUUGAACAUUUUAAAUUACUUCUAUUACCAUGUUGUUUUUUAGUAGAAUUGUUUCCUAAAGAAAACCACUCUUUGAUCAUGGCUCUCUCUGCCAGAAUUGUGUGCACUCUGUAACAUCUUUGUGGUAGUCCUGUUUUCCUAAUAACUUUGUUACUGUGCUGUGAAAGAUUACAGAUUUGAACAUGUAGUGUACGUGCUGUUGAGUUGUGAACUGGUGGGCCGUAUGUAACAGCUGACCAACGUGAAGAUACUGGUACUUGAUAGCCUCUUAAGGAAAAUUUGCUUCCAAAUUUUAAGCUGGAAAGUCACUGGAAUAACUUUAAAAAAGAAUUACAAUACAUGGCUUUUUAGAAUUUCGUUACGUAUGUUAAGAUUUGUGUACAAAUUGAAAUGUCUGUACUGAUCCUCAACCAAUAAAAUCUCAGUU